rnacentral:lncRNA from 1 species
UAAAUACAGAAUUAGGUCACAGAAACUGAGAGACUCAUUGUCAAUAAAACUGAAUGUUUUUAAGUUAAUUUAAAAAUGAAAUAGACACAUGUACUGUAAUUUCUAUCCAGUUCAUCACAAAAUUUUUAUUCAUUUUUGUUUCUUUUAAUGAGUGGAACAUUAUAGGAGCUCAACUGUAUUUGAAAAAUUUACUUUUCUAAGAUGAGGAGUGAAUACAUGGGCAUUUUCCAUGUUAUUCUUUAUUCAUUCGAUAUGUCUGGGACAAUUUAUAAUAUAUUAAAAAUUUUAAGUUCACAUCACAUGCUAACCCACACAUAUUUCUCUCUCUCUCUCUCUCUCUCACACACACACACACACAUACACACACAGACACACACUAUAUAUAUUUUCCUUAGAUCAGAUGCCAUCUUAUUUCCAGAUGCUAGUGCUAGAGAUUCCCAUUUGGGAAAAAACAAAAGAAGAAAAAUAAAGAAAGAAACCUAAACUAAACCACAUAUUUUAAUCUUCUCUUUAGAUAUUGAAAUGCAGACUAUAGAGAAAGAACUUACUGCAGCAUCAGCAAAAUAUAGGAAAAGUAGUGACUCUUCCAUUAAAACAAGUGGCUUUUCCAGGAAAAAAGAUCUUGGGAUUUUCUUUGGUUAUUAGAUAGCUCUACACCAGAUAGGAACAUAAAAUUUCUUUGUGUGGGGAAAGAGGAGAGCUUUCCUGAAGUUUGACUCAUAUUACAAAAAUGAGGGGGAAAGGGAUUUAAGUGCUUAUUUCAGUUCCUUUUCCAAACAUGGAAAAUGACAUGAUUGUAUAUCUAGAAACCCCAUCGUCUCAGCCCCAAAUCUCCUUAAGCUGAUAGGCAACUUCAGCAAAGUCUCAGGAUACAAAAUAAAUAUGCAAAAAUCACAAGCAUUCUUAUACACCAAUAACAGACAAACAGAGAGCUAAAUCUUGAGUGAACUCCCAUUCACGAUUGCUUCAAAGAGAAUAAAAUACCUAGGAAUCCAACUUACAAGGGACGUGAAGGACCUCUUCAAGGAGAACUACAAACCACUGCUCAAUGAAAUAAAAGAGGAUACAAAGAAAUGGAAGAACAUUCCAUGCUCAUGGUUUAGUCUUGGGAUGGUACUUACACACAAGGGAGAUGUUCCAGGUCUUCUUUCCUGCCCCAAUACUGCUUAUGAGCACCCAGUGAGAUCUGUGGACAAGAAGAGCCUAUGAGUGGAUACAAACUCCUAUUGUGUCUGUGAUUCCAAGAAGAUCUAUACUUUCACUCUAUUCUUCAUCUUAACAGUAUCUCAGAUAUUAUAGCUGAAAUUUUACCAACUCCUUUGCUAACGCUGUCUUUUUCCCAUGCCCUUACCCAGUUUUCCAUAGCUAGAGCAGACUUCCAUUCCUCUUGUACUAUGCCUUGCUGAGACAUCCCUUGACACAUUCUUUCCUUUAAUUUAAUGUAAGACCUGGCCUUAAAAUCUUUCUGUGUUAUAGACUUCCUUUUGAAAUCUUGGGCAGCUCUGAAAACAGAAAACAUAAAACUGCACCAGACUGUACCAAAACCUGUCCUGAGGGCGAUUCAGCAGGUUUGAUUAUAUGCCAAGUACCUGUGAAUACCCCAGGCUGAAGAGCUUUCAUAAGCCAUUAUGAAAAUAAUGUAAUUUUAGUGAUUUAGGGAAAUGGGAAACAAGGAAUAAAGGAUCAUAAGGGGGAGACAACCUACAACUCCAGGGUAAACAGGGAGUCAGAGAAAGGUAGAAAGAAAGAAGCUUAAGACAGCAUCAUCACUUUUUCUAUUUGUGUGUGUGUGUGGUGUUUCACUUUCAUAUUUGUUGGCCAGUUUCCUUUACUGAUUAUCCAUUUGUGUAAAUAUCACAUGGGUUUACCUCUGGGAGACAUGGUCCUGAUACCAACACACACUUUGCUGUCUAUGCAUGAACUGAAUAACUGAGACGCAGUGACCCAUCACCAACAGACUGGAAGAAGUAGCAUUAGUGGUCCAUUGAUUAUGAUAAGCAUCUGCUAUUAAUGUAAUGAUCUGUGGGAAAAGAGCUGGCAGCAAAGUCUGUAUUUUAUGCAAUUACUCCCACUUAAUAUACCGUGAAAUUUGUUGGAGGAUUGUUGUUAUUUAAAUCAUUGUAACUGAAAUUCAUACAUAUAGAAAGUAUGCACAGUUAAACUACCCAUCUAUAUUUUAUAACAAGGCCAGUCAUUUACCAACUGGGUGACUGUGGUGGCUAUAAAAGUAUGCCCUCACAUGUCUGCUAGAGGAGGUGUUUGAUGGAUGGCUUCAGGUGCUGAGAUUUGAGCCUACCACUGUGUUCCUGCCAGGCCCACAUUUCCCAUAGGCUGCUCCUGGCUAAUGCCUAAUUUUUGCAAUGUCUGACUUGGGCAACUUUUGCUCAAGGAUUCCCCACUAGCUGAGCUAAAACUUUUAGAAAUGCAUUCCAGUCUGUGGCUCUUCCUAUGUAACCCUCCUUCCUUCCCUCUCUCCUUUACAGGGGUUACACCUGAAUCCCGGUCCGAAGGCUGUCCCACCUCCUCUAACUCUUUCCCUUCUGGAUAUUUCCUUCAAUAAAUCUGUUGCACAUCUAACCU